CCCUUAGAUGUUCUGGGCCGCACGCGCGCUACACUGACGAAUGCAACGAGCUUAUAACCUUGGCCGAAAGGUCUGGGUAAUCUCCAAAUUUCGUCGUGAUGGGGAUAGAUGAUUGCAAUUAUUCAUCUUCAACGAGGAAUUCCUAGUAAACGCAAGUCAUCAGCUUGCAUUGAUUACGUCCCUGCCCUUUGUACACACCGCCCGUCGCACCUACCGAUUGAAUGGUCCGGUGAAAUCUUCGGAUCUGAGAGAUGUCUGAUUAAUUUCGGACGCCUUUUGGAAAAGUUGCUUAAACCUUACCAUUUAGAGGAAGGUGAAGUCGUAACA
rnacentral:rRNA from 1 species